rnacentral:rRNA from 1 species
UACGAAGGGGGCUAGCGUUGUUCGGAAUCACUGGGCGUAAAGGGCGCGUAGGCGGCCGAUCAAGUCGGGGGUGAAAGCCUGUGGCUUAACCACAGAAUGGCCUUCGAUACUGUUUGGCUUGAGACCGGAAGAGGUUAGUGGAACUGCGAGUGUAGAGGUGAAAUUCGUAGAUAUUCGCAAGAACACCAGUGGCGAAGGCGGCUGACUGGUCCGGUUCUGACGCUGGGGCGCGAAAGCGUGGGGAGCAAACAGG